GUCACGCAGGUCCUCCAGUUCAGUCUCGGCGCCGGCUGUCCCAGUGGCUCUCAGCUGCGCGGCCUCUGGCUGCUAAGGACAGCCCACGACAUUUGGCUGGUGGCUUCGUGUUUUUACUACGUGCCAGACUUUAUUUACAAUGAACGGAACUGAGACCAAGCUAGGAGGGGACUUGUCCUGGGUCGCCCACAGGGACAGGGUGCGAUGUGAACCCACUUCUAGAGGAGUCGGGCUGUUACUGACCAGCUGUCAUUGGAGCCUUGGCCAAAGGGCAGAACUUCCCCGAACCUGUUUUUUCCUCGCGGUUGUCUGUUGGAAAUUUUCUGCACGUUUUCGUUUGUGAGCGGGUGUUUCCUUUUCCCAGCGGCGGAGGGCGGCGAGACCCAGGCGCCGAGGACACUCAAGUCCCCUGAUAGAUGCGCCUCCAGACCGGGCCCUCCACUUCUCUGCUGACCGCUGCCCAGGCUCGCUCGGGCCCAGCGUCGGAGGCAGCAGGCCUGGAGGUGUGCCAUCACUGUUUUUUGAAGUAGCUGCAGCCAUCCACCAGUCACAUGAGAGUCCUGUGGUGUUUGUAUGUUUUACCAUUUUAUUAAAACAAAUUUUUAAAAA